CCCCUGUGAUGAGUUGCCAUGCUAAUACUGAGACACCAGGGGGCUUUACCCAGCAUUGGGUGUUAUUGAGGUAAAUUCUACUUCUCUUAAAUCUACCUGAGGGGC